CUACGGGGGGCACCAGUCGGGAAUAUUGCGCAAUGGAGGAAACUCUGACGCAGUGACGCCGCGUAUAGGAAGAAGGUUUUCGGAUUGUAAACUAUUGUCGUUAGGGAAGAUAAAAGACAGUACCUAAGGAGGAAGCUCCGGCUAACUACGUGCCAGCAGCCGCGGUAAUACGUAGGGAGCAAGCGUUAUCCGGAUUUAUUGGGUGUAAAGGGUGCGUAGACGGGAAGACAAGUUAGUUGUGAAAUCCCUCGGCUUAACUGAGGAACUGCAACUAAAACUAUUUUUCUUGAGUGUUGGAGAGGAAAGUGGAAUUCCUAGUGUAGCGGUGAAAUGCGUAGAUAUUAGGAGGAACACCGGUGGCGAAGGCGACUUUCUGGACAAUAACUGACGUUGAGGCACGAAAGUGUGGGGAGCAAACAGGAUUAGAUACCCGCGUAGUC
rnacentral:rRNA from 1 species